rnacentral:lncRNA from 1 species
AAAGCGAAUUAAUUUUUAUCCGUUUCUUAGUACUUCUGCUAAUAUAAAACAAAAAACAAAACAAAAAAAGUUUCUACACAUUAAAACAUAUAUACACAUACAUACACAUACAUACACAUAUACAUAUAUACCCCUUAAAACAACAUAAUGCAUAGACUAACUUUGUUUUUUACUAUUUUAGUACUUAGCUUAUUCACACAAAUCGUUGGAUACACUAAACAUGCAAAUAAAAAGAAAAGACAAAAUGUAGCUUUAAAAAAACAAAAUAAUUUAAAUAAUAAUAUAAAUGAUUACAGUUUUAUGUUAUCUAAGGAAGAUAACAAUAAAAAGGAAAGUGGUUAUAACAAUAAUUUGAAAUCAGAAAAACAAAAUGAUGACACCAAUAAUGAUAACGAAAAAAAAACAGAAGAUAAUAAUAGUAAAAGUGAUAACAAACAAGAAGAUAAUAGUAAUACUAACGAAAAAAAACAAGAAAAUAAUAAUACUAGUGAUAAAAAAGAAGAAAAUACACAAAACGAUGUGUCUGAAACUGCACAAAAUGAAAGAAGAAUUAAUAAAAAUAAUUUAACAGAUUACGGUACUUAUGAUAAAAAUGGAAAAUUCAUUCCUUCUUAUAAAACAUUAACUGAUGAAAUUCUAGCAACAAAUAGCGCAAUGGAAAGGGCUUCAACAUUUAUGAAGGUCGCUUGCUCACAUAUUUUGAAAAUUUUAGAAUUUAUACCAGAAUCUAAAUUAACUACUCAGUAUAUUAAAGUUGAAUCGAAAACUAUUUAUUUAAAAGAUAUUGUAGUCGAAUGUGAAAAUAUUUUUUUUAAUGUUGAAAAAUUGGUUAUGACUGUGAUUGUUCUUAAUUCGAAAGUUCAAAAAUAUGUAUAUGCUCAAAAUUAAUACUAAAACAUAUAUAUAUAUAUAUAUAUAACUGCAAUACAAAAACAUUAUAAGAAAAAGAAAGAAAAAAUGAAAUCUUACAAUUUUUAUUAAAAUAAAUAAAAAAAAAAAAAUUUAUAGCUGAUGAAA